rnacentral:snRNA from 1 species
AGGCGAAUGUUUCUUUCUUUUGC